rnacentral:misc_RNA from 1 species
UCCGGCUUGACGCCGGCAGUCCCCCGACAGCCAUGCACCACCUGUGAUGGUGUCCCGAAGGGCUGCCGUAUUUCUACGACAUUCCUGUGCAUGUCAAGCCCAGGUAAGGUUCUUCGCGUCGCGUCGAAUUAAACCACAUGCUCCGCUGCUUGUGCGGGCCCCCGUCAAUUCCUUUGAGUUUUAGCCUUGCGGCCGUACUCCCCAGGCGGGAUGCUUAAUGCGUUAGCUUCGGCACGGACGGAGUCGACACCGCCCACACCUAGCAUCCAUCGUUUACGGCAUGGACUAC